rnacentral:rRNA from 1 species
UACGGAGGAUCCAAGCGUUAUCCGGAUUUAUUGGGUUUAAAGGGUGCGUAGGCGGCUUAUUAAGUCAGGGGUGAAAGACGGUGGCUCAACCAUCGCAGUGCCUUUGAUACUGAUGAGCUUGAAUCUACCUGAGGUAGGCGGAAUGUGACAAGUAGCGGUGAAAUGCAUAGAUAUGUCACAGAACACCAAUUGCGAAGGCAGCUUACUAAAGUGGUAUUGACGCUGAGGCACGAAAGCGUGGGGAUCAAAC